rnacentral:siRNA from 1 species
AGUCAAAUGCAUUGGAUUGUGGC